UUUUAAAAUACACACCAGUGUCAGUGUCAAAAAAUAGAAAUUUUUUAAGACUCGUAAAUAUUUAUUUUUGUAAAAUGUAUUGUUGUUAAGUGUAAAAAUACUAGUAGUGCGUGAGUGAGAGUAUGUUAAAGUUUGGCAGCAAAAGAAGCACAUAUAGCACAAUUCUAGAAAAAACAAGAGGGUGUCCAGUGAAUCGAGGGACGAAUGCAGAGAGAGCAGAGUUUCGAGCUCGGCCAGGUGACCCCCGUCAGUCCAACCAACGGCUCUACCAGAAACCGAGAUGACCAUCGUGGACCUCCCCCCGCAGAUGAGGAAGAUGGAAAACUAUCAUCUGCACUGGACAGGGACACUGAGACCUCAGCUGACCCUAGAGUUAGUGCCGAGCAACGUGUGAUAUUUAUCAAUAGGACGCAACCGCCAGUUACCAAAUUUGUUAAUAAUAGGGUAUCAACAGCCAAAUACAGUAUUGUAAGAUUCAUACCCCUGUUCCUGUUCGAACAGUUCCGAAGAUGGGCCAACGUGUUUUUUCUUAUGAUAGCGAUGUUACAACAGAUCCCCGACGUUUCGCCCACUGGCCGAUACACCACUUUAGUGCCUCUAAUUUUUAUAUUAUCUGUAUCUGCCAUCAAGGAAAUCAUAGAGGACGUCAAAAGACAUAGAGCCGAUGACGAAACGAACCAUAGGGAAGUAGAGGUGUUGAGGGGGGACAACUGGAUACAUGUGCGGUGGAAGAACGUAGUGGUGGGAGAUAUAGUGAAGGUUUGGAACAACGAUUUUUUUCCGGCAGAUCUGGUCCUUUUAUCUUCAAGUGAGCCUCAAGGAAUGAGUUUUAUCGAAACGGCAAAUUUAGACGGAGAGACCAACUUGAAAAUCAGGCAAGCUCUGUCUAGUACCUCCACUUUGACGAGCAUACAAGACCUGGUGCAGCUGUUCGGUACCAUCGAGUGUGAGCCGCCCAAUAAACACUUGUAUGAAUUCAACGGUGUCAUCAGACAAUCUGGACGAUCUCCCGAACCUCUUGGACCGGACCAGAUCCUUCUUCGCGGCGCUAUCUUGCGAAACACCGCUUGGGUCUUCGGAAUCGUGAUAUACACCGGCCACGAGACCAAACUGAUGAAGAACUCUGCCAUCCCACCCUUAAAGCGUUCGACAGUCGAUAAGAUGACCAAUGUCCAGAUCCUUCUUCUGUUCGGUGUGCUGUUCGUGAUGUGCUUGAUCUGUUCCAUUUUUAACGUUUUGUGGACCAAAAGUCAUGCUGAUAGUGACUGGUAUAUUGGUUUAGAAGAUCAUUCCUAUAAUUUUUUCUACAACUUACUUACAUUUUUGAUUCUUUUUAACAAUUUGAUACCAAUAUCGCUUCAAGUAACAUUGGAAGUCGUCAGGUUCGUACAGGCUAUAUUUAUCAACAUGGAUGCAGAAAUGUACCACGCAGAGACAAACACCCCUGCGAUGGCGAGAACUUCCAAUCUGAACGAAGAGCUGGGGCAAGUUAAGUAUGUUUUUUCCGAUAAGACUGGCACCCUAACAAGAAACAUUAUGGAAUUUAAGAAGCUAGCCAUCGGUAGGGAUGUCUUUGGGACAACAGAGAACGUAGAAGACUCGGUCUUAGUAAAGAGUCUUCGCGACGGCCACAAAAAUGCCCACUUGAUGCGCGAAAUGCUGGUUCUUCUGUCUGUCUGUCAUACAGUUAUCCCAGAGAAGACGCCAGAGGGCGAAGUGAUUUACCAUGCAGCAUCUCCAGACGAGAGGGCGCUAGUGUAUGGAGCUGCCAAAUACGGAUACGUCUUCGAAAGCCGAACUCCAGAUCAUGUAGAAAUCGAUGCCUUAGGCACCAGGGAAAGAUAUGAGAUACUGACUGUACUUGAGUUUACUUCGGCUAGAAAGAGGAUGAGCGUUAUAGUGAGAGAUCCUAAAGGUAAAAUAAAGCUGUUCUGUAAAGGCGCAGAUUCGGUUAUAUACGAAAGACUAGACAACAACUCCGGUAGAGAACAUUGCGACAUGAUUCUUCAACAUUUGGAGCAUUUCGCUAGCGAAGGAUUGAGAACUUUAUGUUUAGCAGUGGCAGAAUUGAAAGAAGCUGAUUUUGAGCACUGGAAAGAGAUGUAUCAUAAAGCCAGCAUAUCUUUACAACAUAGAGAAGAAAAAAUAGAGGAAGCUGCAAACUUGAUAGAACGUAAAUUGAAAUUGGUCGGAGCUACUGCCAUAGAAGACAAAUUACAGGAAGGGGUGCCUGAUACGAUAGCAGCUCUACUUCAAGCUGAUAUUAACGUUUGGGUAUUGACGGGUGAUAAACAAGAAACUGCCAUAAACAUUGGAUACUCUUGUAGACUUCUAUCCCAAGGGAUGCAGCUGCUUAUUCUUAAUGAAGACGGAUUGGACAAAAGUAGGGAAGCAAUUUUAAGACAUUGUGAAGACAUUGGCGUAAAUUUGGAAAAGCAAAACGAGCUGGCACUGAUAAUUGACGGCAAAACAUUGACGUAUUGUUUGACGUGUGAACUAAGGAACGAUUUUCUCAGAUUAUGCGUUUCCUGCAAAGUCGUGAUCUGCUGUAGGGUGUCGCCGAUGCAAAAAGCCGAAGUGGUAGAAUAUGUAACUAAAUACACGAAGACAGUUACGCUCGCCAUUGGAGACGGCGCAAACGACGUAGCUAUGAUCCAGAAAGCACACGUUGGAGUGGGAAUCUCAGGAGUGGAAGGUCUUCAAGCUGCUUGCGCUUCAGACUACAGUAUAGCGCAAUUCAGGUUCCUGUUGAGAUUAUUGUUGGUACAUGGGGCCUGGAACUACUCAAGAAUGUGUAAGAUCAUCCUGUACAGUUUCUACAAGAACAUUUGUCUCUACGUCAUCGAACUGUGGUUCGCAAUCUACUCCGGCUGGUCCGGGCAGAUCCUCUUUGAGCGGUGGACCAUCGGUCUCUACAACGUCAUCUUCACAGCGCUACCACCUCUAGCUAUGGGUCUGUUCGACAAACCUUGCAGCUCUGACAAGAUGAUGCAGUUCCCGAAGCUGUACAAACCGUCCCAGAGUGGAGAGCUGUUCAACAUUAAGGUCUUUUGGGUGUGGAUCAUAAAUGGAAUGGUCCAUUCGGCUCUUUUGUUCUGGUUGCCUUUACUGGCUUACCAACACGACAUUCUGUGGCUAAAUGGACACGACGGAGGAUAUUUGGUUCUAGGAAAUUGUGUAUAUACAUACGUCGUGAUCACAGUCUGCCUAAAAGCUGGACUUGUGACGAACUCCUGGACGUGGUUGACCCAUUGCGCUAUAUGGGGAUCUAUAGUUUUAUGGUUUCUCUUUAUUAUUGUUUACAGUAUGUUUUGGCCUACCAUACCGUUUGGUUCAGUUAUGUCGGGAAUGUACAUCAUGGUGUUUUCUUCGACUCUGUUCUGGUUAGGCCUGUUUGUUGUGCCAAUUGUUACUGCGUUGCCUGAUUUUACAAUUAAAAUUAUCCACGGAACCAUUUUUAAAUCUCUAACGGAUCUCAUACGGGAGAGCGAGAUCAAGAAAAGCGACCCGGAAGUGUACAGGGGCGAGCCGAAAAAUUCACCAUUGCAUGCGUUGGAGCAAUUUGCAAUAUACUGUCUGAGACUGCCCGGCUGCUGAGGAACGUCUUCACCAGGAGGAGCACGGCUCCCAGGAUAGAACAAGAUGUCGAACUAUCACAUGGUUUCGCUUUUUCCCAAGAAGAAGGAGGAGCAGUAUCGCAAUCAGCCGUUAUAAGAGCCUACAACACCAACAUCCCGAAGCCUGACGGAAUGUAGAAGAACGUCAGCAGGGAGAGUCUCGAAAGUACUUAUAUCCCUUUCGGAUCAAAGUGUAAAUCUGACAGAUAAAACAGAAAAUUUUAUUGCUCGGUCCAACCCGAUCUUCUGUGUCUCGCUUUCAACGUGAUGGACAGAAGACUCGGUUGUUCCGGAUUAUUUUUUUACGAAAAUUCUAACAGUUAUGUAAAAUGCAUAAUGUGUGUUUAAAAGGUAACAUUUUUAACGUUAGAGUAGCUUGAAUUGGUUUUUAUAGUACCAACGGAAGAGGCGAGUGGAAAAAGAGGCUGUGCCCAAACUAAACUUACUCUAUAUAUGCCUCUAAAUAUUUUAGAGGCCAUACAGUAGCUCGAACUGUAGACAAGUGCCAUAUUGUUUCUUCUUUCGCUCGCUUCUUCAACGUUUGUGUAUAAUUUUUGCACAUAUAGGAAUCUUAUUACUACUUGUUAUGUUACGGUAUUUUCGUAAAAAUUUACAACUAUUUUUGGACAUUAACUCUUCUAGAGUUAUAGUCACUAAUUUGUAUUGAUAUAGAAGUUAUAUUUUGACAUGUUUAGGAAUCUGUUGACGAGAAUACAUGUAUAGACGUUUGAUAAAAUAGAUAAUUGAUCACCUAACCUAAUAUAACCUCCAAAUUUUUGUGAAAUUCAACCUGGAACCAUAGACAUAUAAUAUCUAGACUGCACGCUGCUAUCUUAAAAUGGGUGACGAUAGAGAUAAAUUAGCCUAUUAGGUGGGAAGUCUCUUUCUAAUCGACGGGGGUUAUCCAAUGACGUUGGGUUUGUCGAUCACGUCACUUUCCCACUGUCGCCGAUUGGAUGAACUCCUCCGAUUAGAAAGAGACUUCCUACAUAAUAGGCUCAUUCAUCUCUGUCGCAAUCGUCACCCAUUUUAAUAGAUAUUAUAUGUCUAUGCCUGG
rnacentral:misc_RNA from 1 species